rnacentral:rRNA from 1 species
CGACCACAACGGGUGGAGCCUGCGGUUAAUUGGACUCAACGCCGGGCAGCUCACCGGAUAAGACAGCUGGAUGAUAGCCGGGCUGAAGACUCUGCUUGACUAGCUGAGAGGAGGUGCAUGGCCGUCGUCAGUUCGUACUGUGAAGCAUCCUGUUAAGUCAGGCAACGAGCGAGACCCACGCCAACAGUUGCCAGCAUGUCCUCCGGGAUGAUGGGGGACACUGUUGGGACCGCCUCUGCUAAAGAGGAGGAAGGAAUGGGCAACGGUAGGUCAGCAUGCCCCGAAUUAUCCGGGCUACACGCGGGCUACAAUGGUCAGGACAAUGGGUAUCGACACCGAGAGGUGGAGGCAAUCUCCUAAACCUGUCCUUAGUUCGGAUUGUGGGCUGCAACUCGCCCACAUGAAGCUGGAAUCCGUAGUAAUCGCGUUUCAAAAUAGCGCGGUGAAUAUGUCCCUGCUCCUU